ACAGUAGUCCGGUUUGUCGCUCCGUUGCUUCAACGGGGAGGAAAGUCCGGGCAACACAGGGCACCAUACUUCCUAACGGGAAGCUGUUCGCGAGGGCAGUGUAGUGUAACAGAAAACAACCGCCUUGCCCGAAUGGGCAAGGUAAGGGUGAAAAGGUGGGGUAAGAGCCCACCGGCGGUUAUGGCAACAUAGCCGGCCGUACGCCAUAUGGGUUGCAAGAUCAUGUAUACCGGCGCAGUAGGACGGCCCGUCCGAUGCCGGGGGGUAGAUUGCUGGAGGCAACUGGCGACAGUUGUUCGAGAUAAAUGACAAACGCUCCGGGUAACCGGAGAACAGAACCCGGCUUACAGGACUACUGUUUUU
rnacentral:RNase_P_RNA from 2 species